UAAAAAAUAGCUUUUGUUCACUACAACAAUGCACAAAGUGAAGUACAUUGUUAGCCAAAAGCUUCUAACAUUUGGAAACACAGUCUUGGGCCUGGUCAGCACUCGGCUAGCUGGGCUUCGUGACCAGAAACAAUGUAUGUCGUAUGGCCUGCAGAGUAUUUUUUCGAUGAAUUUAUUCAUAAUGUGCCGAAGGCCUGCUUAUCUCAUAAGUUACUAUUAUACUGUAAAUAGUAGCGGUUGGGCCGAAAUAUUCUCUAUUAUCCUGUUCUCCUUCUUAUUUCACAAUAGCAGGUGUUAGAUAUAACACAUUAACAUCUCUAUUGGAAGAAAGUUAAUUAUUAUAUAUUCGAAUUAUGUGAAAAUUAGCAGGGGAUUGCGAAUAGUGUGGAAAAUUUUACGCAGCUAUACAUUGGUAUGUUGAGUCUCUUUUAGAAUCAUUAACUGGACGUUUCUAAUCAGCGGCAUCAUUUAGUACAAGGCAUAAGAUUUCAUCCGUUAAUGUAUUGAAAAUUAUCCUCUUAAAUUUAGCACUGUUUGCUUGAUUAAAUCGCUUUAAUUUCAAUUACUUCCAAAGGAUUAUCUGACAACGAAUCCAUUAUGUUGAAUUCUUCACAAUGCAUUCGAAGGUGUAAUUCGAGGUAGGAAUUGAGCAUGGAAAUAUAGCUUUUGUUGUCAAAUUCUUAAUUUCUACAAGUAAUUGGAUGAAUACGACUGUGGUUUCACAAUAUCCACUUGAAAAUCCAUUUAAUAUGGAAUCCAUUUAAUGGUUUCUGAUCAGGGACCAAAUAACAUGGAGUAAAUUUGGACCAUGGCUUAUGAAUAUGACUAGCGCUCUUUUUGGCGCUCUUUUUUGAAUCUGCCAAGUUAUAAUUCUGAAAAUCAUUUCGUAGGCGAUAUUUAAUGCAAUUACUCUUUGGGAGCAUGCUUUGAUGCUUCGAUUUAUAAUUUGAGCACAGGAAAUUAAAAAAUGUCUGUAAUUUGGUGUGCUGCUGCUGAUUUCAGCUUGAAAUUUAUUCGCUUCAACGAAUAAUUUUUUCUGCUAUAACUAAUAUUCAUUUGGUUUUAAUAAUGCAAAUAUAUUCACUUACCUGAGACUAGGACAAUAUGGAUUUAGUUUAAUCUAUUGAAAUCUCAAAUUAUCAAUAUUUACAGAAAUAGUUCCGCUGUUUCUCCUGCAAUUUACAAUCACCGCGGAAUUCUAUUUCUCUAUUUAUCUAUUUUGUUAAUCAUCAUGUCUGAAAACACACUGCGAAACGGCGAAACUCAUUGAAAUUUUUGUUUUUAUGGCUUUCACAAGAUGAACCGAUGGUAUCUGGAUGUUUGGUUGGCUCGAUGUGGCACAGCCGAAUUAUUUAUUCACAUCAGCUAUGCCGACAUCUUGCCUGCUAGCCAUCCAGUGUAGAUAAAUAUCAGGUGUGCAGUUAUAAUAUGAGCGCAUUGGUUUUAUCUAAAUUCAAAACAACCCCAAAUGCAAAGACUUGGUCGAUGGAUGUUGAUUUAUAAAAUGUAAAGUCUGAACACGUUGAAAUGUCUGAAAGCACUGGGGAGCGUGGAGGUCUGAAUUGGUAAGAUGUGCAGCACUGCUAGUGCUGCAGUGUGGGCCCUAAGCUAUCUACCAAAAGGAGGGAGAACCCGACCAUCUAUGCUGCUCACAACGAUUGGCUCGUAUUCCCUACCUCUCCCGAUUCACUAUUAUACAUGGUGAUGAAAAUUCGGGUUUUCUUUAUUGAUUCUUGUAUUAGAUAUCCUCGAAAUAUCAUUGAAUUAUUCGACAGAAUCCUGUAUGAAUCCACUUUUAAUAUUUUCCCUCAUAUUAUUUCCUAAUUUCAUUAUCUGAAUAUUCCGAAAAAUUUCUCGCUAUAUAAGGAUAUAUAAUUUUAUUCCAUAGCAACAGAAAAUCGUUUUGAAAACUAAAAUUCCAAGUGCACAUAAUAUUCCAUUUUCCAUGUGAUAUCAAUGAAAAACGUAUUGUUCGGCGAAGAUGAUUUUGCCAAUAAAUUAUAAUGAAAUAUUAUUAUUGACGGAUCAUUCAGAUCAGAUGUCACAUUAGAAAUAGUAUUUUAGAAUAUACUAGGAUAAAGUAUAAAAUAUACUCGAUUGAAUUAGAUACUGUUUUCCAUGCAAGGGGUUUUAAUAUGGUAGUAUAAAAUCCCAUCGAAAUGAUUUGAUUAUUGAUUGAAUCGAUCUAUUAUAUAUUAUAUUAUAUAUUUUCUUCGCAUUUAUAAUGUAGAUAACAAGAGUAAUAUAAAACUAUGAAAACAUUUUAAAGUUGGAUUUGCUUUUACAAUUCCACGUAAUUGCUUAUAUAUUGAAGUUUAUACAUUUUUAGCAAUUUAUUGAGAAUUGAAUAUGAAUGAAAAAUAUUGAACACUGUCAAGCUGGCAUAAUUAUUUACCUGUGUGGAGAAAGGUGCAUUCGGGUAGCACGCACACUUUUCGUGACUUCCGCUUGCGUCUUUCAUCAAAGUCAACCGGAUAUGGCCGAGAAGUUAAAGAAUCCCUUGUAAAAAUUUAUGGUAUUGCAUAUAGUCAAAUGAUUUGUAUUUUUUAACCUGAUCUUAUAGCUAUCACUAUGUAUUAUAGGAUAUAAUAUAAUAUUACUCUAACAAUAUGUGAUUAUUUUCAUACGUGUCAUUUCAUUUCAUAUUUUAUAUAUAAAAUUAUUAAAUGGAAACAUUUACAAAAAUUUUUUUUCCAUCAACUGUAUUUCAUAUUAUAAGGCAUUGAUGUUUUUUGCUUUUCUGGACAUUGGCAUUAAAGGUAAUAUUUACAGACAUAUUUAUUAUUAAUUCCAAACACGUUUAACAUCUGGGUUUCUGUGAAUUGGCGAGCUGUGGUGGGCCUUAUGAUGUUUUAUACGCCCAUUAUAAUCAUUUUAUGAAAAUACGCCUUAUUAUAAAAAACAAAUAAAAAAACACACUACAUUAUUUAUUACUACAUUAUUUAGUCAGAUUGGAUCAAUCUAUCAAUGAUUGACAGUGAUGAAAAUGAUUAUACAUCUAUCUACAAAUCAAAAUAAAAAAUUAUCUUUCGAUAAU